rnacentral:rRNA from 1 species
UACAGGGGGGGCAAGCGUUGUUCGGAAUUACUGGGCGUAAAGGGCUUGUAGGUGGCCGACUAAGUCCGACGUGAAAUCCCCAGGCUUAACCUGGGAACUGCGUCGGAUACUGGUUGGCUUGAAUCCGGGAGAGGGAUGCGGAAUUCCAGGGUGUAGCGGUGAAAUGCGUAGAUAUCUGGAGGAACACCGGUGGCGAAGGCGGCAUCCUGGACCGGCAUUGACACUGAAAGCGAAAGCCAG